rnacentral:rRNA from 1 species
UACGGAGGGUGCAAGCGUUAUCCGGAUUCACUGGGUUUAAAGGGUGCGUAGGCGGGCAGGUAAGUCAGUGGUGAAAUCUCCGAGCUUAACUCGGAAACUGCCGUUGAUACUAUUUGUCUUGAAUGUUGUGGAGGUAAGCGGAAUAUGUCAUGUAGCGGUGAAAUGCUUAGAUAUGACAUAGAACACCAAUUGCGAAGGCAGCUUAUUACACAAUUAUUGACGCUGAGGCACGAAAGCGUGGGGAUCAAACAGG